UUUGGUGUAGCUCAGUGUUAGAGUGUUUGCCUGAGCCUGUGUGAGGCCCUGGGUUCAAUCCCAGCACUGAAA
rnacentral:tRNA from 1 species